AGGUGAUUGAUGCCCGGUGAGAGGGUGAAAGGGACCUAUACCCCCGUCAGCUGCAGGAAAGGAACAAAGAGACAGGUGAUUAAUGCCCGGUGAGAGGGUCAAAGGGACCUAUACCCCCGUCAGCUGCAGGAAAGGAACAAAGAGACAGGUGAUUGAUGCCCGGUGAGAGGGUGAAAGGGACCUAUACCCCCGUCAGCUGCAGGAAAGGAACAAAGAGACAGGUGAUUAAUGCCCGGUGAGAGGGUCAAAGGGACCUAUACCCCCGUCAGCUGCAGGAAAGGAACAAAGAGACAGGUGAUUAAUGCCCGGUGAGAGGGUCAAAGGGACCUAUACCCCCGUCAGCUGCAGGAAAGGAACAAAGAGACAGGUGAUUGAUGCCCGGUGAGAGGGUGAAAGGGACCUAUACCCCCGUCAGCUGCAGGAAAGGAACAAAGAGACAGGUAAUUAAU